CNGGNANUGNCGGCAGCCUACACAUGCAAGUCGAGCGGAUGAAAGGAGCUUGCUCCCUGAUUUAGCGGCGGACGGGUGAGUAAUGCCUAGGAAUCUGCCUGGUAGUGGGGGAUAACGUUCCGAAAGGAACGCUAAUACCGCAUACGUCCUACGGGAGAAAGCAGGGGACCUUCGGGCCUUGCGCUAUCAGAUGAGCCUAGGUCGGAUUAGCUAGUUGGUGAGGUAAUGGCUCACCAAGGCGACGAUCCGUAACUGGUCUGAGAGGAUGAUCAGUCACACUGGAACUGAGACACGGUCCAGACUCCUACGGGAGGCAGCAGUGGGGAAUAUUGGACAAUGGGCGAAAGCCUGAUCCAGCCAUGCCGCGUGUGUGAAGAAGGUCUUCGGAUUGUAAAGCACUUUAAGUUGGGAGGAAGGGCAUUAACCUAAUACGUUAGUGUUUUGACGUUACCAACAGAAUAAGCNCCGGCUAACUUCGUG
rnacentral:rRNA from 1 species